rnacentral:rRNA from 1 species
ACGCUCGACACCUCGUGAGGCAGCAGUGGGGAAUAUUGCACAAUGGGGGAAACCCUGAUGCAGCGACGCCGCGUGGAGGAAGAAGGUCUUCGGAUUGUAAACUCCUGUUGUUGGGGAAAAAGAGGAUGGUACCCAACAAGGAAGUGACGGCUAACUACGUGCCAGCAGCCGNGGUAGUAUGAGGCGGGCGUCGGCGAAGGACGC